rnacentral:rRNA from 1 species
GAUUACCUUACUACUUGGAUAACCGUGGUAAUUCUAGAGCUAAUACAUGCUGAAAAUCCCGACUUCGGAAGGGAUGUGUUUAUUAGAUAAAAAACCAAUGCCCUUCGGGGCUCCUUGGUGAUUCAUGAUAACUUUACGGAUCGCAUAGCCUUGCGCUGGCGACGGUUCAUUCAAAUUUCUGCCCUAUCAACUUUCGAUGGUAAGGUAUUGGCUUACCAUGGUUUCAACGGGUAACGGGGAAUUAGGGUUCGAUUCCGGAGAGGCAGCCUGAGAAACGGCUACCACAUCCAAGGAAGGCAGCAGGCGCGCAAAUUACCCAAUCCCGACACGGGGAGGUAGUGACAAUAAAUACUGAUACAGGGCUCUUUUGGGUCUUGUAAUUGGAAUGAGUACAAUUCAAAUCUCUUAACGAGGAACAAUUGGAGGGCAAGUCUGGUGCCAGCAGCCGCGGUAAUUCCAGCUCCAAUAGCGUAUAUUAAAGUUGUUGCAGUUAAAAAGCUCGUAGUUGAAACUUGGGCCUGGCUGGCGGGUCCGCCUCACCGCGUGCACUCGUCCGGCCGGGCCUUCCUUCUGAAGAACCUCAUGCCCUUCACUGGGCGUGCUGGGGAAUCAGGACUUUUACUUUGAAAAAAUUAGAGUGUUCAAAGCAGGCCUUUGCUCGAAUACGUUAGCAUGGAAUAAUAAAAUAGGGCGUGCGUUUCUAUUUUGUUGGUUUCUAGAGACGCCGCAAUGAUUAACAGGAACAGUCGGGGGCAUCAGUAUUCAGUUGUCAGAGGUGAAAUUCUUGGAUUUACUGAAGACUAACUACUGCGAAAGCAUUUGCCAAGGAUGUUUUCAUUAAUCAGUGAACGAAAGUUAGGG